GACGAACGCUGGCGGCGUGCUUAACACAUGCAAGUCGAGCGGUAAGGCCCUUUCGGGGGUACACGAGCGGCGAACGGGUGAGUAACACGUGGGUGACCUGCCCUUAGCUCUGGGAUAAGCCUGGGAAACUGGGUCUAAUACCGGAUAUGACUCCAUGACGCAUGUUGUGGGGUGGAAAGCCUUGUGCGGCUAGGGGAUGGGCCCGCGGCCUAUCAGCUUGUUGGUGGGGUGAUGGCCACCAAGGCGACGACGGGUAGCCGGCCUGAGAGGGCGACCGGCCACACUGGGACUGAGACACGGCCCAGACUCCUACGGGAGGCAGCAGUGGGGAAUCUUGCGCAAUGGGCGAAAGCCUGACGCAGCGACGCCGCGUGAGGGAUGACGGCCU
rnacentral:rRNA from 1 species